rnacentral:rRNA from 1 species
AUUGAACGCUGGCGGCAGGCCUAACACAUGCAAGUCGAGCGGAUGAAGGGAGCUUGCUCCUGGAUUCAGCGGCGGACGGGUGAGUAAUGCCUAGGAAUCUGCCUGGUAGUGGGGGAUAACGUCCGGAAACGGGCGCUAAUACCGCAUACGUCCUGAGGGAGAAAGUGGGGGAUCUUCGGACCUCACGCUAUCAGAUGAGCCUAGGUCGGAUUAGCUAGUUGGUGGGGUAAAGGCCUACCAAGGCGACGAUCCGUAACUGGUCUGAGAGGAUGAUCAGUCACACUGGAACCGAGACACGGUCCAGACUCCUACGGGAGGCAGCAGUGGGGAAUAUUGGACAAUGGGCGAAAGCCUGAUCCAGCCAUGCCGCGUGUGUGAAGAAGGUCUUCGGAUUGUAAAGCACUUUAAGUUGGGAGGGAGGGCAGUAAGUUAAUACCUUGCUGUUUUGACGUUACCAACAGAAUAAGCACCGGCUAACUUCGUG